UUUGUUUUCUUUUGGUCCCUUUAAGUGGCUGAAUUGUAAUCGUAUCUUCUCUUUUCAUCUCUCUCUCAUUUCAUUUCCUUUUCCUCCUACUAAACAUAAAUCAACCACGACCUCCAUGGAAUGAAGCCCUCAUCAACACCCAAAACAAACCUCACAUUCCCUUCCCUUCUCUUUAUCUCUCUCUACCCAUUGAAGUACAGAACAAGAACGGAAGAAGCUUGAAAAGAGAAGGUGGUGAUGUAUUAUUAUAAUUGUCAUGGAGUUAGUAAUGCAGCAACCAGUGACAACCAUUAAUGGUGGAACCUUCCUUGGUUUAAGGGUCCUUAAAACCCAUGCCACCAUCAUGCCAGUUUUUCCUUUCCUUUCCUUUCUUUCAAUUUUUUGAUGUGUUUUUUUUUAGGUUUUUCAUUUUUGGGUUUUGUUCUUUUUUUUUUUGCUUAUUUAGAUUUGUUUGGCUAUUUGAGUUUCUGAUAUUUUGUUAUUUAAUGGAUUUUCUGGAUUUUUUUCCAGGUUUUUUUAUUUGACCAUGGUUCUAUUCGAAUGUGCUUCAUUGACGCUGUUUACGUCCAUCUUGAUUCGUUUCUAUUUGUUUGUUUGAUAUCUGGAGUCUUUUUUAAUUGAAUUGAAACAAAAUUGCCUUAUUUGUUUCACUGAAUCUCUCUCUUUUUCCCUUCACAAUCAUCAGUGCUAUCAAUCUGGGCUCCACGUCCUUUCUACUGAAUCCUGAGCUGAUUUUGCGUCUAUUCACAAGUUUCCCUUUUCCAAUUAUUUGUACUUUGAGUUUGUUUUGCUUUUUUUUUUUUGUUCUAUUAGUGUACUCUCUUUGAGCCCACGUCUGAGAAAUGCGUUGUGAUCAUUCUUUAUCUUGAUCGUACGGUAAUGACAAGAUUUAAUUUAAGUGAGUUUGUUUUGAAAUUGAUUAUUUCUUUUUACAGAGGAGUAGGAUCAAUGAGAAAGCGAGUAUGUCAUAUAAUUUAGUUCCUGGUUCUAACAAGGUAGUUGGCUGAACACAAGUUUUAGUUAGUUAGCUAGAUUUUGAGGUUUUCUACAUAAUUAUUUUUGGAUUUUAGGUUAUAUUUUCUAAUGUUUUCUGGCUGAUAAGGUUUUGAAUCUAGAUUAGGCGAUUAAAUGUUGGAAACAGCUUUGACAUCAAGCACUGGUGAGUGGUUUCUAGGGCUCUUUUAUACUGUUUGUUUGAAGCCAUCCUAAUUAGCUUCAUUUCUCUUUUGUUUUUUUCCCCUUCUUGCCUCUCUUCCAGACGUUAUUUGUUUGUUUUUUUAGCUUUUUCAAGCUUUUGGUGAAAUGCUUUGUUCUUUUCUUGGAUCUUUUUCAUGUAUGGUGGGUUUGAUAGAACUGUUUGUUGUCCUUUUUUCUUCCCUGUUUCUAUGACAUUACUAACAGUUUAGGGAAGUUUUCAGCAAUGCUGUGAAAACGUUUCAUUCCUCCAUAAAUAGAUUGCCUUUAAAUGAGUUGUUAAUAUAUUUCAUUAAGAUUAAUAUAUCAUUUUCCCACUCUUUUUCUUAUUCUAAUUGAUUUUUUGUUUUUAUGUGCUGGGUGAUUUCUCUUAGCCUUUGCCUCUAAAGUUUAGGCUAUUAUAAGAAGUGCUUUUCAUUUUUUUUGGCUGCUUUUAUUCGUUAUGUAUCACGUUCAUUUCGAUUCCUAUCUCUAUUGCACAAUAAUGCAUUAAAUAUCUAAUAUUAGAAAAAAGAAAGUCAGGUUUCUCAGUCGUUUCAACGUUUGCCAUUUCACUUUGUUAUUAAAUUAUGUUCCGAAUCAGUUUUCAGGCUUUUUUUUUUCUUUUCCGAUGAGGUUUCAAAAUCCAAAGUGUUUAGAAAUAAGUUUUUUAGCGGUGGUAAAAUAGUCUAUUCUCCAUUAUUUAUGAAAUUUGUAGCUUGUUAUAGAAAGCAUGUAACCUGCAAAAUAGUUUCAUUUGGUGGGAUUUGGAGAUCCUCAAAUGACAAAGUUAGUGACCUUUAAGCAAAUAGUUAUAAUAAAGAAGAGAAUGAAUAUUUAUUCUUAAGAACAAAAUGUUUUGUUCUUAGUUUUGAUAUAAUAAAUGUUCUGAAAUUAGAAAAGCAUUUUUGUUGACAAUAGAGAUUGUGAACCUUUUACCCAUGUGAUUAUAAGGUAAGGAUAUUUAUACUUCUAAAACCCUAUAGAAAAUAUUAAGGCUUUAGGAUGUCUUUUUACCUUUAUAGCACCCAAGGUCGAUGGGUUUAGCAAUUUGCUAGACCUAUGCCUAAUUAGGCUUGGCGUACAUCCAAGUCCAAAGGUGGUGGGUCUGGUAGCUUGCGAGAUUCAUGUCCGCUUGGGCUUGGCAUGUAGGCGAGCCUAAGGGCGUUGAGUCUAGCAUCUCGCCAGACUUGUGCCCUAUUGGGCUCGACAUUCAGCUAGACCCAAGAUUAAGAGGUCGUGUCCGCUUGGUCUCGACACGUAGCCAAGUUGAAGGGUGUUAGAUCUAGCAGCUUGCCAGACUUGUGCCCAUUUAGGCUCGACACGUAGCCAAGCCUAGGGGUGCUGGGUUUGGCAGCUUGCCAGACCUAUGCCUACUUAGGCUCAGCUCGUAACCACAUCUAAAGACGUUGGUCCUAGAAGCGAGUUAGACCCAUGUCACCUAGGCCUGACAUUCUGCCAAGUCUAGGGAUGUUGGGUAUGGAUGUAAGCCCCACCCACUUAUCAAUGGGUUAUCAUCAUGUCUUUGGACUUUUUAAACAAGCAUUUAGGCUCAAAAUUCAUUUUCAUAAAAUGCCAAAAAUAGUGAUCCAUCACUUUCAGUUAUCACUUUGUUUUUCUUUGGUUUUUCUCUUUGAUAUUUUUUUUAAAUUUCCCUGUUUUGAUUGCCGGAUUGUGGAGCUCUGCAGGAUUUAGAUUUUGCCUCUGAUACUUGGAUCCAUCAAUUUCCACUGCAUUGCCAUGGAGCUGGUUUUGGUCCAAAUUUCCACUGCAUUGCCAUGGAGCUUGGAUCAUGUAUUUAAUUUUCUUUCUUUCUCUCUUUUUUUUUUUCCAUAAUGUUGCUUGAUUUGUGCUUUUGGUUCCGUUGUGGUUUGCUGAGAUGUUGAGCUGCCACAGUCCUUGAGCUCAAUCAUUGUUGCUUCUCACCAUUUAUCUUCAUAGAUGUUUCAUUUCUCCAGUAUCGAUAGUGACUUAGACAUGUUCUUUGCGUAAUCUUUUUACCCUUCGAUUAUCUUACAAUCAUUCCUAUAAUUUCUUUGUUUUGACUUGGCGUACAUAGUCCUUCAUUUUCUUUGUUGCCUAAGUUGACUUUUGACAGGCUAUUACUUUCUCCCUCUUUUUUUUCUCCUUGCUUUUCCUGUGUUGUUUGGUGUGAUGUUGUCCCCAUUCUAGCUUUAAUCUUGUCUCUUCUACAUAGUGACUAUUUUUGUUCCAUUCCCCCUUGCAUUGUCACUUAGAUUUCCUGGUUCUUCUUAUUUUUUAUAUUUUUUUCCCACGAUGUAACUUGAUUGCUAUCAUUUUCCCCCUUCUAUUUCCAGGAAUGGUUUUUUCACCAGCUGUUUAUCUUUCUCAUCUGUUUUUUUCUUUCUGAACUAUUGUUUGCUGAGAUCGUAAGCUUCUUCUGAAAUUCAGUGUUGCCUUUGGUGAUCGUUUACAAUGAUCUGAUUCGACAUUCCCUUCUCCCAAUAUUGUCAUUUGGACGCUGCUUCCAAGUUCUCUCCUUGCCUAAAGUCAAUCACGGUUGCUUUGACGCUGCUUCGAAGUUCUCUCCUUGCCUAAAGUCAAUCACGGUUGCUUUAACGCUGCUUCUAUGUUUUUUUUAAUUUUAAUGUUUAUCUAUCUAUCCCAGCGUUAUGAUUUGUUGUGAAAUAGUAACUUGCUGCUGCAUUUCGACCACCAUAAAAGACUUCCUUCAACCAUCAUUUUUUUUACUUGAUCAUGGAAUCCUCUGCAACGUCGCUGCUUUUUAUAACAUUGCUUUGUAAGAGACUGUUCAUUCUAUGUUGUCUUCCAUGACACCCACACAUGGCUUAUGCUUAUCCUUCUUUAUUUACCCACAUUCAUUAUAGCUUAGAAUUCUUUCACUUCAUUUCA